rnacentral:rRNA from 1 species
CCAGACUCCUACGGGAGGCAGCAGUGGGGAAUAUUGCACAAUGGGGGGAACCCUGAUGCAGCGACGCCGUGUGGGUGAAGGAGUAUUUCGGUAUGUAAAGCCCUAUCAGCAGGGAAGAACAAUGACGGUACCUGACUAAGAAGCACCGGCUAAAUACGUGCCAGCAGCCGCGGUAAUACGUAUGGUGCAAGCGUUAUCCGGAUUUACUGGGUGUAAAGGGAGCGCAGGCGGCGCGUUAAGCCUGGUGUGAAAGCCCGGGGCCCAACCGCGGGUCUGCAUUGGGAACUGGCGCGCUGGAGUGCCGGAGGGGUAGGCGGAAUUCCUAGUGUAGCGGUGAAAUGCGUCGAUAUUAGGCGGAACACCAGUGGCGCGGGCGGCCUACUGGACGGUGACUGACGCUGAGGCUCGAAAGCGUGGGGAGCACACAGGAUUAGAUACCCCCGUAU